AGGUCUAGCUCUGUGUGGCUCCCUAGGCCUCCAGCAUGAGCAGUAACUGGCUGAAAAGCCCUCCCUAUUACAGACCACAACGUUGAACCCAACAUCCCCCUGAGUAGGUUGUACUCCCAUCAUUGGUCUUAUAGGGAAAUUUUAAGACCUCCCACUUGUAAGGUUUUAGAGCCCUCCAUGGAAUUUCAAAGAAAGAGUAAAAUGUAUCCAA